UCACUACUCCCUCUGUCCGGAAUUACUUGUUACAGAAAUGAAUAAAAAUGGAUGUAUCUAGAACUAAAAUAUGCUUAGAUACAUCCAUUUUUUCGACAAGUAAUUUCAGACGAAGAGAGUAGUAA
rfam:Triticum aestivum genome assembly, contig: Triticum_aestivum_CS42_TGACv1_scaffold_221841_3B